rnacentral:rRNA from 1 species
GAUGAACGCUGGCGGCGUGCCUAAUACAUGCAAGUCGAGCGAACGGACGAGAAGCUUGCUUUUCUGAUGUUAGCGGCGGACGGGUGAGUAACACGUGGAUAACCUACCUAUAAGACUGGGAUAACUUCGGGAAACCGGAGCUAAUACCGGAAAAUAUUUUGAACCGCAUGGUUCAAAAGUGAAAGACGGUCUUGCUGUCACUUAUAGAUGGAUCCGCGCUGCAUUAGCUAGUUGGUAAGGUAACGGCUUACCAAGGCAACGAUGCAUAGCCGACCUGAGAGGGUGAUCGGCCACACUGGAACUGAGACACGGUCCAGACUCCUACGGGAGGCAGCAGUAGGGAAUCUUCCGCAAUGGGCGAAAGCCUGACGGAGCAACGCCGCGUGAGUGAUGAAGGUCUUCGGAUCGUAAAACUCUGUUAUUAGGGAAGAACAUAUGUGUAAGUAACUGUGCACAUCUUGACGGUACCUAAUCAGAAAGCCACGGCUAACUACGUG